AUGAAAUGAGUCAAUUAGCUAAACUUCAAGCAUGCAUUGAAGAUAUAAAAUCAUGAAUGACCUACAAUUUUCUUAUGUUAAACUCAGACAAAAUUAAGGUUAUUGUCCUGGGCCC